rnacentral:rRNA from 1 species
AAAACUUACCAGGUCAAGACAUGGGCGUGAUUGACAGGCUAAUGACUUUUCUCGAUUCCAUGGAUGGUGGUGCAUGGUCGCACUUAGUUGGUGCAGUGAUUUGUCAGGUUUAUUCCGGUAACGAACGAGACCUCGGCCUUGUAAAUAGCUAUGCUGCUUACAGGGACAUUGGCGGCUACGCCAAGGAAGCUCGAGGCAAUUGCAGAUCUGGAAUGCCCUUAGAUGUCCUGGGUCGCACGCGUGCUACAAUGACGCCACGAACGAGCUUGCGUGAUGAAAGUUACGCAUAAUCAGCAGUCGGCGUCUUAAGGGAUAGUCUCUUGUAACUGUGGGACUCCAACUAGGAAUGUCUCGUAAGCACAAGUCAACAUCUUGUGUUGAUUACGUCCCUGCUCUUUGUACACACCGCCCGUCGCUCCUACCGAUCGAGUGUUUAGGUGAAUUUGAUGGACGUAAGGAAGUCAAAUAAACCUGAGCACUAGAGAAGAGAAGUCGAGCUG